GAAACACACACCUGCAGUCACAUUCCCUCCUUCAGAGCAGGUGGAGCAGGUCCAGCCUGUCCCUGAGAACACCUGAUUCCUUGACUGGUUCAUCUGUCACAACUUCACCUGCUGGAAGACUGGACACACACUCUGAAGACUCCUAGAGGGACAGAGCCAGAGGGACAGAGCCAGAGGGACGCAGACAGAGGGACAGAGACAGAGGGACGCAGACAGAGGGACACAGACAUGAACAAAAUCGCUGGAGUGAUUGGGGAGAAAGUGGGAGACAUGGUGGAGGGCGCCGUGAAGAACGCCCUGGGCUUCGACGACAAGAGCAAGAACAAGAACAAGACCAAGGAGAAAGGUGGAGGAAUCUUCUCGUUUGGAAAAGACAAGAAGAAAGAGGAGGAGAAGGACAAAGGAGGACUGUUCUCCUUUGGAGGCAACAAGAAGGACAAAGAUGGAGGAGGACUCUUCUCCAGAGGCGAAGACGACCACACAGACAAGCAGAAGAAGUCGGGCUUCGCAGGCCUGUUCGCUGAGGGACAGGCAGGCGGAGCUGACGGAGGCGGCGAGGGGGCGAUGAUGGGAGGAGGGGGAGAGGAAGCAUGCGCAGGAUUCCAGGGGCAGAGUGUAGCAGUGACGGGUGGAGGUAUGUCUGAACAGUCCAACACACUCCAGCUGCACACAGGUGGAGCAGCUCCACCUGCUGUGGAUUCACUAUGAAGCAGAUCAGCCAAUCACUCUCUGAGUGUUUGUCAUGUGACUGCUGAGGCAGGCCGGACCUCCUGGUUGUGAUGGACAUCUAAUCAUUGUGUCUUUGUGCUUUGUCUCAGACCUGCUGGAUGAUCUGAUGGAAGCGGCCGACGAGAUGUCGAAGGGAAACUAAGCCGAGCGGAGAUCCAUGAUCACUGAGCGCACUGAAGAAGAAUGUUGUUUAACUCUUUACGUCUGUCCUCCUGUCUGACAGCAGCUUCCUGUCCUGUCCUCCUGUCUGACAGCAGCUUCCUGUCCUGUCCUCCUGUCAGACAGCAGCUUCCUGUCUUCCUGUCUGACAGCAGCUUCCUGUCCUCCUGUCCUCCUGUCAGACAGCAGCUUCCUGUCCUCCUGUCCUCCUGUCCUCCUGUCAGACAGCAGCUUCCUGUCCUCCUGUCCUCCUGUCAGACAGCAGCUUCCUGUCCUCCUGUCCUCCUGUCUGACAGCAGCUUCCUGUCCUCCUGUCCUCCUGUCCUCCUGCCCUCCUGUCCUCCUGUCUGACAGCAGCUUCCUGUCCUGUCCUCCUGUCAGACAGCAGCUUCCUGUCUUCCUGUCUGACAGCAGCUUCCUGUCCUCCUGUCCUCCUGUCAGACAGCAGCUUCCUGUCCUCCUGUCCUCCUGUCCUCCUGUCAGACAGCAGCUUCCUGUGCUCUUGUCCUCCUGUCAGACAGCAGCUUCCUGUCCUCCUGUCCUCCUGUCUGACAGCAGCUUCCUGUCCUCCUGUCCUCCUGUCCUCCUGCCCUCCUGUCCUCCUGUCUGACAGCAGCUUCCUGUCCUCCUGUCCUCCUGCCCUCCUGUCUGACAGCAGCUUCCUGUCCUCCUGUCCUCCUGUCCUCCUGUCCUCCUGCCCUCCUGUCUGACAGAAGCUUCCUGUCCUCCUGUCCUCCUGUCUGACAGCAGCUUCCUGUCCUCCUGUCCUCCUGUCAGACAGCAGCUUCCUGUCCUCCUGUCCUCCUGUCAGACAGCAGCUUCCUGUCCUCCUGUCCUCCUGUCAGACAGCAGCUUCCUGUGCUCUUGUCCUCCUGUCAGACAGCAGCUUCCUGUCCUCCUGUCCUCCUGUCUGACAGCAGCUUCCUGUCCUCCUGUCCUCCUGCCCUCCUGUCCUCCUGUCUGACAGCAGCUUCCUGUCCUCCUGCCCUCCUGUCUGACAGCAGCUUCCUGUCCUCCUGUCCUCCUGUCCUCCUGUCCUCCUGCCCUCCUGUCUGACAGAAGCUUCCUGUCCUCCUGUCCUCCUGUCUGACAGCAGCUUCCUGUCCUCCUGUCCUCCUGUCCUCCUGCCCUCCUGUCCUCCUGUCUGACAGCAGCUUCCUGUCCUCCUGUCCUCCUGUCCUCCUGUCCUCCUGCCCUCCUGUCCUCCUGUCUGACAGAAGCUUCCUGUCCUCCUGUCCUCCUGUCUGACAGCAGCUUCCUGUCCUCCUGUCCUCCUGCCCUCCUGCCCUCCUGUCCUCCUGUCUGACAGCAGCUUCCUGUCCUCCUGUCAGACAGCAGCUUCCUGUCCUCCUGUCAGACAGCAGCUUCCUGUCCUCCUGUCCUCCUGUCAGACAGCAGCUUCCUGUCCUCCUGUCAGACAGCAGCUUCCUGUCCUCCUGUCAGACAGCAGCUUCCUGUCCUCCUGUCCUCCUGUCAGACAGCAGCUUCCUGUCCUCCUGUCCUCCUGUCCUCCUUCAUAUAGGGUACAGUAGAUAAAAUCCUUUGUAAAAUUCAUUCAAUGUUUAUGAUGAGUACAGUUCUUAAUAUUAAGAUGGUUAAAAUAUGUGCUGUAUAAAUAUGUACACGCUUUAAUAAAUAAAUAUAUUUCCUGUUAAGGAUCA
rnacentral:lncRNA from 1 species